GCCAAGGGUUGCCUCGCCUAAAAAAAAGAAAGAAAACUAACAGAAGCCUUACAUCUGAUCUUGGAAGCUAAGCAGGGUCGGGCCUGGUUAGUACUUGGAUGGGAGACCACCUAGGAAGACCUCACGUGCUGUAGGCA
rnacentral:rRNA from 1 species